rnacentral:rRNA from 1 species
UACGAAGGGGGGCUAGCGUUGCUCGGAAUUACUGGGCGUAAAGCGCACGUAGGCGGGUCGAUAAGUCGGGGGGUGAAAUCCUGGAGCUCAACUCCAGAACUGCCUUCGAAACUGUCGAUCUUGAGUUCGGGAGAGGUGAGUGGAACUGCGAGUGUAGAGGUGAAAUUCGUAGAUAUUCGCAAGAACACCAGUGGCGAAGGCGGCUCACUGGCCCGAUACUGACGCUGAGGUGCGAAAGCGUGGGGAGCAACAGG